rnacentral:lncRNA from 1 species
CAUCGGAAAUGAGUCUGACAUGUGAAAUAGGAGGCCAACCAAACAAUAAUUGUAGUAAUUCAAGGGUAUCAUGCAGCUACUCAUAAAACUGCAAUAUUAUGCGUGAAAUGCUCUAUGACACGUUGUGAACACUGAACACGCUGUUAUGAAUAUUUUGCUGUCCGUAUCCUAAAAAUGAUAAUUAGAUGAAUCCAACACACACAUAUUUACCCAUAGUCAAAAGUCCGUCUAACCUCUUUCGUACAAUUAGCUCUACCUGCCUUCAUUGUAUAUGAUCAAACCAUCUUAGUUAGUUCACUGUUAACUUAUCCUCAAUCGUACUGAUCAAAAAAAAAACUUAAUCCUCAAUCACUGCUACAAGUAUAAUUUUCAAGCAUAAUUUCAUUCAUACUUCUAUCUUUCUUGGUGUUACCAAGUCUAUCUAAGAAUUCUCAUAUUAGCUACACUUAUUUUCAUUAAUGUGUUGUUCCUUUGUAGCUAAACAUUGUGCCCCCUAAAUUAUCGGGGACCUAAUUCUAUUCUACUAAAGAUUUCCUUUCAAUUUUGCUACUGUCCAUCGAUUCCAAUUGAAGAUGGUAAUGGGUCCUAUUGUGCAACAGUCUAAUUUAUUUGUUCCUUUUCAUUUUCCUCUCUUAAUAGGAAUGAGCUCCAAAGAUGGGUUUUGGAUUAUUGUGCAUUUUACAACUAGUACAACGUGGAAGCUGAAUGGAUAGUUAUCUGUUUACCAAGUUAUGGAGACAAAAGGAAUUGAGUUCUUAAGCUGUUGUUCCCUGGAAAUCGUUUACGCCGCCAGGUUGCCACAAUAUUGAAGUUUGAGCAUUUGCGAUUUAAGUCAUUAUAGUGGAUCUCUCUCUCUCUCCUCUCUCUCUCUCUCUCUCUCUCACACACACACACACACACACACACACAUUUUUUUGUGCGAGUAUAUGCUGCAAAAAUUGAAGUAAUGUUCCUGCUACUCAACAGGGAUGGUCUUUUCAGCUUUCUUGUUUUCUCACGAGGCAUCUAUUUGUUGGUGACUUGGCUAAACUAUUCAAUGUUUCUUUCCUUUUUUGGACUGCAAUUGAAAAGUUUCAUUGAAAGAGUUCUAAUUAAAGGUUUC